rnacentral:rRNA from 1 species
ACCUGCCCUUAACUCUGGGAUAAGCCUGGGAAACUGGGUCUAAUACUGGAUAUUGACUUUGCCUCGCAUGGGGUUUUGUUGAAAGAUUUAUUGGUUUUGGAUGGACUCGCGGCCUAUCAGCUUGUUGGUGAGGUAAUGGCUUACCAAGGCGACGACGGGUAGCCGGCCUGAGAGGGUGACCGGCCAACACUGGGACUGAGACACGGCCCAGACUCCUACGGGAGGCAGCAGUGGGGAAUAUUGCACAAUGGGCGAAAGCCUGAUGCAGCGACGCCGCGUGAGGGAUGACGGCCUUCGGGUUGUAAACCUCUUUCAGUAGGGAACAAGGCCAUCACUUGUGGUGGUUGAGGGUACUUGCAGAAGAAGCGCCGGCUAACUACGUGCCAGCAGCCGCGGUAAUACGUAGGGCGCAAGCGUUAUCCGGAAUUAUUGGGCGUAAAGAGCUCGUAGGCGGUUUGUCGCGUCUGCCGUGAAAGUCCGGGGCUCAACUCCGGAUCUGCGGUGGGUACGGGCAGACUAGAGUGAUGUAGGGGAGACUGGAAUUCCUGGUGUAGCGGUGAAAUGCGCAGAUAUCAGGAGGAACACCGAUGGCGAAGGCAGGUCUCUGGGCAUUAACUGACGCUGAGGAGCGAAAGCAUGGGGAGCGAACAGGAUUAGAUACCCUGGUAGUCCAUGCCGUAAACGUUGGGCACUAGGUGUGGGGGACAUUCCACGUUUUCCGCGCCGUAGCUAACGCAUUAAGUGCCCCGCCUGGGGAGUACGGCCGCAAGGCUAAAACUCAAAGGAAUUGACGGGGGCCCGCACAAGCGGCGGAGCAUGCGGAUUAAUUCGAUGCAACGCGAAGAACCUUACCAAGGCUUGACAUGAACUGGAAACACUUGGAAACAAGUGCCCCGCUUGCGGUCGGUUUACAGGUGGUGCAUGGUUGUCGUCAGCUCGUGUCGUGAGAUGUUGGGUUAAGUCCCGCAACGAGCGCAACCCUCGUUCUAUGUUGCCAGCACGUUAUGGUGGGGACUCAUAGGAGACUGCCGGGGUCAACUCGGAGGAAGGUGAGGACGACGUCAAAUCAUCAUGCCCCUUAUGUCUUGGGCUUCACGCAUGCUACAAUGGCCGGUACAAUGGGUUGCGAUACUGUGAGGUGGAGCUAAUCCCAAAAAGCCGGUCUCAGUUCGGAUUGGGGUCUGCAACUCGACCCCAUGAAGUCGGAGUCGCUAGUAAUCGCAGAUCAGCAACGCUGCGGUGAAUACGUUCCCGGGACAC